AGCUGGUCUCCAAACAGUCGCCAUCGCCGGAGUAAACGAGAAGCCGCCGAAGAGGUCUCGCUAGCCGAAAGUUUAAACAUUCAGCAACAUGAAGUUCUUACUUGUGUCCAUCUGUCUUAUGCUGCUGGCCUUUGCCGUGGUAUCGGCCGUACCUGCCACCCAUGACGAAGGUAUCCUGGGCUCGGAUGGUGCCGCAAGUGACGAUACCGUGAAUCCCCAAGAUCCACAAGAGUUUCUUAAGCUGAAGAAACUGUUGUUCCUGAAAAAAUUCCUCUUCUUGGGAUGAUCUGCAAAUCCCACACGCCCGGCCACCAAAACCAUAGUUCAAUAGUUAAAUGAAUGAAUAAUCUAAGUCAAUUUGGUCGUAAAACACAGCAGCGAGACAAGAUGCUUUUAGCCGUCUCUAGAUUUUACUAGGCACGGGUUGUAUGAUUCUGUGUGUUUUGUUUUACUAUAGGAUUAAUGAACAAGCAAAGCUGAAAACGGCCAGUCACAUCACAGUAAUUGAAUUGUACACCUUCAAUAAACGAUUUGAGCUGUUUUUUAUAGCAAACUGGCUUUUAAUUUCUGAGUAGGACAUGAAAUAACCUUGCCUUAUUUGUUAUUCUAGUUCGUUACCAAUAACAACAGCUGUAUCACAUGAAGGCAUACCCUGUUGAUAUUUUUUGCAAUCAUUAGGUAGGAAAAAAGCGUAUCCGAUUGUUAAUUUAUCUGUGACCUUAAACAGCAUUGUUGUACUGUAUCUGGUUGUGUUAAAAGCGACACAGGGACAUAUUUUUUUGCAGUUAUUUAAAGGUAAAUUUGGACAUUAGAAAAAUAAACAGCGGAUUUAAUAACAAUCUUA